UACGUAGGGUGCGAGCGUUAAUCGGAAUUACUGGGCGUAAAGCGUGCGCAGGCGGUUCGUUGUGUCGGCGGUGAAAGCCCCGGGCUCAACCUGGGAAUGGCCGUUGAAACUGGCGAACUGGAGUGUGGCAGAGGGGGGUGGAAUUCCGCGUGUAGCAGUGAAAUGCGUAGAGAUGUGGAGGAACACCGAUGGCGAAGGCAGCCCCCUGGGCUAACACUGACGCCUCAGGCACGAAAGCGUGGGGAGCAAACAGG
rnacentral:rRNA from 1 species